UGUCAGAAGCAAAAACUUUUUAUGCAUUGCACAUCUCAGCAAAACAUUAACCUUUUUAUUAUACUUCAUCAUUUUUUUUUAUCUCAGAACAUAAUCCUGUCCGAAUGCAGCAUCAUCUUUGUCAAAGUCCAGGAAGUGAGAGCAGCACUAGCACUCCUCUGUGCUCACUCCUGUCUUGUCUAUUAGACUGUAGCAUGAAAACAGAGAGGAGGGGGUUACAGAGCAGCCUGCAGUGAUUGGAUGAAGACACCCAGCACAGCACAGCAGAUUCAGGGAGGAAGUGAAUGCAUGCAAUAAGUGAUACUAGAGAUGUAUGACAGCUUCUCAUCUCCUCCUGCUCUAUGGAUGUAAAGGGGGAUUGUGGAUGAUACAGGCCAGCUAUGGGACUGUUUGCCAGUAAAUAUAUAAAUAUCACCAGUGUCACCAGUAACCAAAAACUGCAGGAUUUCUAGUGACAUGCAUGCCACAAGGGCUGAGAAUACAGAGGUGUGUGCAACCAUAUUCAAUCAGACAGAGCAGGAGGCUGGGGGCUGCUUUCAGAGAGUGAGCUGGCUGGCAGAGCAGAGCUGCAAUGCUUGCUGGGAGAUGUACUCAAGGAUGGCAAAGAAUAUCAAGCAGAGAAGACAACAGGGGCCACAGGAGCCACGCAUAUCAGGUAGGAUCAUUUUUUACAGGGAACAUAAUUAGGUGGUGUGAUAGCUUUGGUGAGGCUUAUAUAUCCCCAGAGUAUCCCUUUAAU